GAGUGCGACACCUGAUUCC
rnacentral:misc_RNA from 1 species